rnacentral:rRNA from 1 species
AAUAGAUACCCUGGUAGUCCACGCCGUAAACGAUGAGUGCUAAGUGUUGGAGGGUUUCCGCCUUUCAGUGCUGCAGCUAACGCAUUAAGCACUCCGCCUGGGGAGUACGGUCGCAAGACUGAAACUCAAAGGAAUUGACGGGGGCCCGCACAAGCGGUGGAGCAUGUGGUUUAAUUCGAAGCAACGCGAAGAACCUUACCAGGUCUUGACAUCUCCUGACCGCCCUGGAGACAGGGUCUUCCCUUCGGGGACAGGAUGACAGGUGGUGCAUGGUUGUCGUCAGCUCGUGUCGUGAGAUGUUGGGUUAAGUCCCGCAACGAGCGCAACCCUUGGUUCUAGUUGCCAGCAUUCAGUUGGGCACUCUAGAGCGACUGCCGGCGACAAGUCGGAGGAAGGUGGGGAUGACGUCAAAUCAUCAUGCCCCUUAUGACCUGGGCUACACACGUGCUACAAUGGAUGGUACAAAGGGCAGCAAAGCGGCGACGCAUGAGCGAAUCCCAGAAAAACCAUUCUCAGUUCGGU